GAUGAACGCUGGCGGCGUGCUUAACACAUGCAAGUCGAACGAUGAAGCCCAGCUUGCUGGGUGGAUUAGUGGCGAACGGGUGAGUAACACGUGAGUAACCUGCCCUUGACUCUGGGAUAAGCCUGGGAAACUGGGUCUAAUACUGGAUAUGACUUCUCGUCGCAUGGUGGGGGGUGGAAAGAUUUAUUGGUCUUGGAUGGACUCGCGGCCUAUCAGCUUGUUGGUGAGGUAAUGGCUCACCAAGGCGACGACGGGUAGCCGGCCUGAGAGGGUGACCGGCCACACUGGGACUGAGACACGGCCCAGACUCCUACGGGAGGCAGCAGUGGGGAAUAUUGCACAAUGGGCGCAAGCCUGAUGCAGCGACGCCGCGUGAGGGAUGACGGCCUUCGGGUUGUAAACCUCUUUCAGUAGGGAAGAAGCGAGAGUGACGGUACCUGCAGAAGAAGCGCCGGCUAACUACGUG
rnacentral:rRNA from 1 species